rnacentral:lncRNA from 1 species
GAGUAUAGAUGAGGAUGGCAGAGAAGAGUGCUCGUUCGCAGUUUUCCAUGUAAAGUCCCUGACUAGUUUGUCAUGUCAGUUGUCAUCCCCACCCAAAAAAGGAAUUAUUUCUAACCUAGCUGUAUCACUUGAAACUUUAGAAACAAAGUAAUCAGGGAAGUUUCUAGAGAGAAAGGUGUCAGGUUUUUGGUUUUGUUUUGUUCCUAAAUCUUUUUGUGCUUUGUGUAAAAAGAAAAAAUGUACUGAGUUAUAAUGCAUUUUAUUAACACUAUGUACAUAUUAGCUGCUUUGUGUUCAGAAUGGUAGCAAUUGCUUUGUAUAUUAAAGUAAUCCUUGUGAAUUUGUGAAAUAUUGUCAUAAAGUGCUUUUUCUUACUGUAAUCUUUGUGGUAUCAACUGUCAUAAUGCCCUUUUUACACAAACAUUUAUGUGCUGUCACAUAAACAUGCUUUUAAAAACUCUCUAAGUCUCUCUUUUUGGGAUGGGAUCAUCUACAUUGUGGUUUUCCUAGGUGUGUUAAGCAAUAUUUUGUGGACUUGGUUUAUUUUGUUAAAUGGCAAAAGUUAUGCUAGAAUAUAUCACAAGCUUAUGUUGCACAGCAGCAGAAAACUAACUCAAACAACAUAUCUUUACUUAAUUUUACUGUAUUCCUGGUUUUUAGCACAAUAUUUCUUUUUUCAGCAAAAUUAAUGAACAGUGCCUUUUUUAGGAUUUAGAGAUGUUACUGCCCUGUUGAGACAACCGAUGGGAGACAUACGGCCAGCUGUGUUUA